UACGUAGGGGGCGAGCGUUGUCCGGAUUUAUUGGGCGUAAAGAGCUCGUAGGCGGCUUAGCAAGUCGGGUGUGAAAACUCCAGGCUCAACCUGGAGACGCCACUCGAGACUGCUAUGGCUAGAGUCCGGUAGGGGACCACGGAAUUCCGCGUGUAGCAGUGAAAUGCGUAGAGAUGCGGAGGAACACCGAUGGCGAAGGCAGCCCCCUGGGUUAACACUGACGCUCAGGCACGAAAGCGUGGGGAGCAAACAGG
rnacentral:rRNA from 1 species